rnacentral:rRNA from 1 species
GAUGAACGCUGGCGGCGUGCCUAAUACAUGCAAGUCGAGCGAACGGACGAGAAGCUUGCUUCUCUGAUGUUAGCGGCGGACGGGUGAGUAACACGUGGAUAACCUACCUAUAAGACUGGGAUAACUUCGGGAAACCGGAGCUAAUACCGGAUAAUAUUUUGAACCGCAUGGUUCAAAAGUAAAAGGCGGUCUUGCUGUCACUUAUAGAUGGAUCCGCGCUGCAUUAGCUAGUUGGUAAGGUAACGGCUUACCAAGGCAACGAUGCAUAGCCGACCUGAGAGGGUGAUCGGCCACACUGGAACUGAGACACGGUCCAGACUCCUACGGGAGGCAGCAGUAGGGAAUCUUCGGCAAUGGGCGAAAGCAUGACGGAGCAACGCCGCGUGAGUGAUGAAGGUCUUCGGAUCGUAAAACUCUGUUAUUAGGGAAGAACAUAUGUGUAAGUAACUGUGCACAUCUUGACGGUACCUAAUCAGAAAGCCACGGCUAACUACGUG